CGGGCCGCGGGACUCGCCGCCGCUGCCGCCGCCUCUACAGCCGCGUCAGAACUGAAGAGAGGAAGGGGAGGAGCCGACUGGAGCCUAGGCUGCCGCCUGAUCUUACCCCCGACCCGAGGGUGGUGGAGAGAGCUUGCUCGGUAGCGGUUUCCUUCUGAGCAGGUGGUGACUGCUCCUUUGAGAGCAAGGAGGAGGCCCAGGCCGCGCGGCCGUGCUCGGGCGCGCACCACCCGAAGGAGCUUUGUUACAGAAAGAAAGCUGUUGUCCAUGAAUCCAACUGCAGAUGGCACUUGCGUUUCCUGAGUGGGCAGACCUGGUCAGCAGCAUCCCUUGGAGAGCAGGAGUGAGGAGUUCAUUCCUGCAAAGCAGACGCUAUCAAGACCUUUUCUGAGGGCUCAAACCAGACAGAUGGAAUAAUUGGCCAUGAAGUAAUAGUAACAUACAAUUACCACUCUGUAUUUUUAAGUUAAUAAAGAAAUGAUUCUUUGAUUGCAACACUUUCCUUUGUGUUAACUGAAGGUUUACUACCUGGCAUGGUAGUUUAACAACUUUUUCAGAACUCCGGUCACAUGCAUAGAAGUUCUAGGCAGGCUUACCUCUCUCUCUGGUUUUCCCUGACAUGUUUUGUUCAUUUCAACAGUGUGAUACAUUUAUGUGGAAAAGAAGAGAAAAAAAAAAAAGAAAGAAUUCACUUUUUGCCCAGUAGUGAUUAAAAAAAAAUCUGUCUUCCUCUGUGUAAGAUGCAUCAUACCUAGAGUCAAAUGCAAACACAGUAUUGUGUUCUGCAUUCCUGGGCAUCUUUAGAUAUGUCAGCCUUCAUCUUUGGUGCAUUUGGCCAAUUUAUUUAUGCUCAUACUUAAUUUCUUUCAAGAAAUAAUGCCAUGAGAGUCAUGAAGAAGUAUGAAUUCCCUCUUGCUCUGGCUUGAGAUAAGGGAGCUUUCAGCCAUAACUUGGAAAAUUGUGGGGUAACUGAGCUGCUCAGUUAUGAAAGAUACUAUUAAUAUAGGAGGAUAAUCCUUUUGCUUUACGUUAAGGUGGCUGUGGUUUUCAUACCUUUAAAAUCAGUCUUACUUGGUACUCAAUAUUUCUGGAUCUCAUCCAGAUCUUAUAUCAGUAGUCUGGGGCAAGAAUAAGAAGCGGGUAAACAAACAUCUUCUUGCCUGGAUGCAAUCAAGUAUAAAAGAAAAAAGUACACCGUCCUUCAAAAGAUACUCAAUUAAGAAUAAAUGCUGUUAAAAUUGCCUCCUUUCUUCUGGUAAUUUUUCUAAUACAAUUACUCUUAAAUGGGGCAUUUUCAAUAUACAAAUGUGCAUUCUUCACACAAGGCCUCUUAGAUCAGAAUAUUUGGGGAUGCAACCCAAGCAUCAUGUAGAAAAAGCUUUACAAGUUUUUUGCUGUGUCUACCCUAGUUGGCUAAGAACGAUUUCUCUCAAUGGUUCAUUUUUGUACUCUAAUUAACAGAUUUAAAGAGCUCUGGUACCUUUUUAUAAUGUUUUAUUGAUUUCAAUGACAUCAAAAUUCAUUUCCCCAGUUAAAAUAUCACAACUGGAGAAGAUGAUUUGAAAGGUAGAGUUGACAGCAAAUGAUAUGGGAGGGAAGGCAGGCAGGAUGAAAGAUUUGACAACUUCACCAAGUUUCAGUGUGAAGAAGGCACAGUCUUUGUGGGUUAAAAACGCCUACUGUCUGCUAAUUCUGUGCAAUGACUUGGUGUCAAGCUAGCAACAGACAGGUGCCACCAAACACUGGCUUGGCCUUGUCACUAAUAGGCAACCUUAAGUGUAGAGGCCCAGCCCUGAGCAGACCCAAAGGGCCGCUGACCUGUGUAGGUGUCCCAUCCCUGGGGAGGACCCUGAAGCCUUGGGAGGAACUGCCCCAAACAUGCAUGGAGCGGGCCUUCCAAAGCCAUCACUCCCAAGCAGCACAGAGUUCCUUCUGGUAACAUCCAUUCCUGCACACACCUGGCAUGACUGAGGAGUAGGUCGCUGUCCCAGAGUAUGAGUGUGCAAGGGGGAGGAGUGGUAAAAUAAAGUAUAAAAGGUAGGCUAGACUGGACCAAGUUAGGUUAAGACAUUGUAGCUUCAUAGGUCUAUGAAAUCAUUUUACACAAAGCAUUUUCUCUUGGGUAAAACAACACCCUUCCAAAAUGGCAAAAUAUGAACUAAGAAGGUAUCACAAUAGGUUAAACCUACUUUGAGCCUUAGUUUUCUCUGUGCAGAUGCCCGUCGUGAGUAGCUUGUAAAAUCAACCACUGUGACCAUUCAUGCAUAGAUAGGCUCUGCUGAUUUUACAAAUACAUAGUAAUGCAGCCGCCUCUCUAAGGGCAGGCUCCAGCCUGACGUUUGCACAGCCAGCAGAAAUAAUUUCUCACAGGAGAUAGAAUUUCAUUGUUUAGCAAUAUUUCAUCAAAGGAAGCUGCACCCUCAGCCACACACGCUGUCUAUUUAGGAGGAGGUGGCUGCCCAGCCCUGGCUGCUUCCCUUCAAAUUCAUAGGCAGCCAGCAGGUAAUCAAUGCAUUUUAUGCAGGAUGGCAGGGAAAAUUUUGUAGGCCUUAAUAGUGGGAAUAUUUAUCUGUAAAGCAGACAUGAGGUUUUAAAAAAUAACAUGUUGCUUUUCUUGAUUAUCAAAGUAAGUCAUGUUUAAUACAGAAAUAUUGAAAAGUAAGAAGACUUGAAAAUGAAAAAAAAUCAUUCUUAAUUCAGUCAUUCAAAGAUCACCACUCUGUUUUAGUGCACUUUUCAGCCUCUUACACAAAUAGCAUAUAAGCAGUUUGCAGCCUGCCUUCUCACUUAGAAUUGUAAGUGAGAUGUUUGCUUGCUUCUUUUUUGUGAUUAUAGUCAUGUUUCAGUGAAUCUCCUUGUAAAUAAUUUUUAGUCUCCAUUUCUGAUUAUCUCCUUAAGGUAGAUUCCUAUAAGUAGGAUUUCUAGAUCAAAAGAUGUAACCGAACAUCAUGGCAUUUAAACAAAGAUUUCUUAGGUUAACUGGAAAACACACUGCUGUGUUUACUGGUUGUGUAAGGCUGUUUCUGCAUAAGGAAAAAAUACCUUCCACCAGCUUUUCUUAUUCCAGCACUGUUUUGAUGUUGUUGUGGUAGGUGUGAGGCUUCCUCCAGAGAACAGUUGAUUGAAUGGUGCUGUUCAGCUUCCUUCUGUCCUUUCAGAUCUUCUCUUCCCCCACACUGUUUUGUGCCCUGCAUGGCUAGUCUUCAUGAACUACAUCAAUGGGCUGCCUUGCUCUGGGCAUUCCAGUUGGGUUCAACCAAUGAGAGACUGGCCAAAACAAAGAUUGGAGGGUGGAAGAACAAAGCAGUUGGACCUGCUCCCUGAAGAAUUGCUGUGGGUUGGCUGCAUCUGGUUUUUUGUUCUUAUCUGCAUUUUUCUUCAUUAUGGUGAAAUGUACAUAACAUUUACCAUUUAAAUCACUUUAAGGUGUGCAAUUCAGUGAUGUUAAGUGCAUUUACAGUAUUGUGCAACCUUCACUACUAGUCCAUUUCAAAAACUUUUUAUCAUCCCAAUAGAAAUUCUAUGUAUCUAUACCCAUAAAGAAUAACUCUUCAUUACUUCCUCCCCUACCCUUGGUAACCUUUAUUCCACUUUCUGCUUCUAUGAAUUUGCCUAUUCCAGGGGCCUCAUGUAAGGGGAAUCAUACCAAAUUUGUCUUUCUGUGUCUGGCUUGUUUUACUUAGCAUAAUGUCUGCAAGUUCAUCCAUGCUGUAACAUGUCUGAAUUUCCUUCCUUUUUAAUGCUGACUAAUAUACUAUUGUACAUAUAUCCUGCAUUUUGUUUAUCCGUUCAUCUGUUGAUGUAUAUUUGGGUUGUUACCAUUUUUUGGUUAUUGUGAAUAAUGCUGCUAUGAACAUUGGCAUACAAUGGCUACAUCCUUUUAAAGGCCAUAAAUCUUGUCAGGUGGCCCUUGCCACAUGGCUACCCUCUGUUUGUUCUAAUAACCAUCCCCUCUCCUUAGCCCUUUAGGCUUAGUCUGGCAGUAGCUCCCUACUGCUGCUACUCCUACAGUACUGCACCAUCCCCUGUGGGUUUCCUACAUCUACCCAUGCCUUUGAAUUCUUCUCUUUAGUCAUCUUUCUUCAAAUUACCCAGCUUGAGUGUGCCAUCUAUUCCCUGCCAGGUUUCUGACUUGCACCAGAAUUUUGCUGUAAACCCUCUCCACUUUAGGCCUGAAAUAACUGAAUAUCUCUCAAAGAGUACCUAGGCAUAUGGCCAAUGCAUCCCACCAGUAGAUACUGACAGAUACCUGGAAAUUUAAAAGAAUCUGUAUGCUCAGGCCCCAUUCCACUUCAACUGAUUCAACAUCUAGUGCUAGGACCUGAAAGAUCUUCAUUUUAAAAAAAAGUUUCCAGGGACUCUAAUGCUAUUAGUCUAAGGUCUACCAUGAGCCCCUGGCCCUGGGACGUUUGUUUAUAGCCCUGAACUAAAGUGUGGCUCUUGGUCUGCUUUAAGAAUUUAAGCCAACAUUUUAAACUAAACUAGCCAAAGUAUUCUGAAAUGAAGAUAUCUGAAAAGUAAUCACAUGUCAUUCACAUGCUCUUUCCAAGUUAACUUUGUUUCAUAUUGAGUUGCCUUCCAAAUGGUGGAGCUUUUAGCAAGGAAGAGAAGAGCAUGGUUUUCAUAGCUAGGGAUUAUCUUCUAAACUGCCAACAUCUUGUCCAUUUUCCUCCAGACACUGUCUCAUUGCAUGUUAAUCUUAUGUUCAAGAUUCAGUAGUACUAGUAAAAGACUGAGACUGAGAAGCUAGCAGCAUACAAACUUCAUACUUCUCAAAGGUGUUUAAUUACCCAUACUUCUUGUAGUAUAAUUCCUAACAUAUAUGAACACAGCUAUCCUUAAGUGUAAUGUCAAAAUCCACACUAGACAUGCUAUGGUUGUAUUACCUACCAGUCUCUCUGGCAAACAAUGGCUACAAAUUUAAAUGGUGCUCAGAGGCUGAAAGGCAAAAUGAUAUAACAGGCUGUAUCUACCUUAAUAGUUUGCUGAAGACAACUAUGAAUUUAGAGUAUUAAAUAAGUUAUUAUAAUGUCCUUUGCUAAUUACCUCAUUUUUAUUCUCAAUCCUGUGAGGUGGCAGUUUCAGGCAAUUCAUAUAACUUCCCUGAUCUUCAAUUUCUUUACCUGCAAAUAAAAGGGAGAGAGAAAGUAUUUUGCUAUGCUAAAAAGCAUCUAAGGGCUAAUCAGAUUAAAAAUUCUUUGGUUCAUGAAUUGCAUAUUACAAAUGAGGAAAUGAGUACAGAGACAUUUAAAUGACAACUCUGUGUUCAAACCACUUUAUCAGAGCAGGAUUAAACUUUAAACUCAAAAAAUAAAAAAUAAGAAAAUAAAAUUCCUGAGUAGCACAAAAACAAAUAAGUAAAUAAGUAAAUAAGCUUGAAAUUCAGCCCUGCUGGUUCUUAGCUUAGUAGAUAGGCCAAAACAAAGCCAGUCAGAAGGCAGAGAGCAAUUUAAUUAGCAAUAAAACAAAACAGAAACAAAGAGAGAAAGCAUGCAAACAAGAAUGGAUGCUGUGAGUAAAUGUUAGACCUCCCCAUCACUGGCAAGAGGGAGUGGGAGUGUGGCCGCUGAGGCUAAUGCAACCAGUCAGCCUGAGGGUUAAAAAACAUGACAAAAAAUGUGAAAUAUCUCCAGCCCGAAGUGAGCUGGAUGGCAGCUAAGUGCAAAGGAAGUGUUAAAAAUGACGAAGAGGCCCUUGUCUGGUUCACUGUGACAUUCAUUCAGGUCAGGUCAACCACUAGAAAUAAGCUGUGGUUCUGCAUACAGCACGGGCAGCUCAGAGGCCACAUGUGAACACUUUACCGAGUUAAAAAGUGUCCCUUCUUGGGGCUGAUACAUUUGUCCAAAGUUAUCCACAAAUCUCUCUGUCCCCCUCAUCUUUCAGAUAAGAAGUUGAAACACUGUUUCCUUCCUGCUCCCUAACUCAAAAAAAAAUCAAUAAUCUUCAUUUUCUAAGCAUCUUUCUAGAUUCUCCGGGAGGCUGCCCUAGACUUGACUCAAUUACUUUCAUAAUAGCCCAGACUCUGAACUGAAUUAAAUUGAGCUUUUAAUGUUUAAUAUUUCAACAUUAACAACAUUUGGAACUAUCUUAUUUGUCUUUUGAAGAACUUGGCCCUAAAACACUAUCAUAAUCACUAUAGCAAGUUGCUGGUUUGAACCAGAAACAGUUUUAAAAAAUAGGUAAUUUCAUUUUCAGCACAUAGCAUACAACUUGUGUUUACUUCAAAAUCAAAAAUUGGGUUCUACUAGAGGGGAAAAGACAACCACCACCACCACUCAUCAGGCAGUGGUUUAAGAAAGCAUGCUUGCAGAUUGUCCCAAAGGCAAAAAUGACACUUUCAUUUCUGCAGUGUGUGCGGCCUUUGACCAGCACUGAAAUAGUCACUAACUUUAAAAUAAUGUUCUCACACACCACACCCUAGCCUUGGGUUAACUGUGGGAGCCAUUGGCACAGGCAGAAAUCAGAAGCCAGGGCCUGCAAAUCCCUAACGUUGUUGGCAGUAGGCACCAGAUGAAAUGAAGCAUGUGGGCUCAGCAGAGCUUCCCGGAAGCCAGGUGUUACCUUUUAUUGCAGUGUUACUGUCAGGCUCCCUGUCCAAGUGUGGGCCCGCUGGGUAAUACCAUGAGUCCACUGGGGCCACCACACCUCCACCUCACGAUGAGUACAUAACACAAGAAACAAAUGUGCCUUAUACUCCUCAGCAAAUGCAAUUCCUUUUUUCUUACUCCCUUCUUUGGUGGAAUGGCUUCUUGAUAGCUGAGUAAAUGGCUACUAGAGAUAAAAAUGCAUCAAGUCCAUGUUGACAAGUCACAGGACAAGACAAGUGCAGUUGAUGUUGAACUGGCCCCUGAUUGCAGAGAGGACAGAAGGGGUGUUCCCUUCUUAGGCUCCUGGACCUGGAGGUCUCAGGCUGUGAUACCAGGUUUACUAUGUUGUGUUAGGGUAUGGGGUCCUGUUGAGAUCACCCAUGGGGAUGGAGGGAAGAACUUCCACGGUGGGGUGUGUGAGUGUGUGUGUGUGUGUGUGUGCGUGUGUGUGUGUGUGUGGUCAUUCCCAGGGAAGGAAGCUGGCCCUCAGCAGGAGCUGAAGGGGGAAAGCUGGGCAGGCAGCCAGGAAGGGCAACCCUCCUCAGGGCGUCAGCCUGCCCUUGGGCCAGGCUUUAGACAUAAUUUUCAACACCAUUCCUCUGGGGGAGGGAAUAAGGUGGCCUGCCCUGUAGAGAUGGCCUGGGGGCAAGGUGGUGAGGCCAGUGGAUGUCGCAUGUUGCUCCUCCCUGCAUUUUCCUUUAGGCUUGCUGGAACACCUCAGCUCAGCCUGGUAGUGCUGUGAGGAAUUGAAGGGAGGGUUCUGAGUCUUUGUCCAGCAGUUGUGACACGGUGGGGAAUGCAAUAGUCUUGAGUGGA